CUCGUAGGCGGUUUGGUAAGUCGGGUGUGAAAACUCUGGGCUCAACCCAGAGAGGCCACCCGAUACUGCUAUGACUAGAGUACGGUAGGGGAGCGGGGAAUUCAUGGUGUAGCGGUGAAAUGCGCAGAUAUCAUGAGGAACACCAGCGGCGAAGGCGCCGCUCUGGGCCGUAACUGACGCUGAGGAGCGAAAGCAUGGGUAGCAAACAGGAUUAGAUACCCUGGUAGUCC
rnacentral:rRNA from 1 species